rnacentral:rRNA from 1 species
ACCUACGGCGGCUCGCGUAGGACUGGUGCUUGCAUUGGGGAUUAGUGGGGAACGGGUGAGUAACACGUGAGUAACCUGCCCUUGACUCUGGGAUAAGCCUGGGAAACUGGGUCUAAUACCGGAUAUGACCUUCGAUCGCAUGGUGGUUGGUGGAAAGCUUUUGUGGUUUUGGAUGGACUCGCGGCCUAUCAGCUUGUUGGUGGGGUAAUGGCCUACCAAGGCGACGACGGGUAGCCGGCCUGAGAGGGUGACCGGCCACACUGGGACUGAGACACGGCCCAGACUCCUACGGGAGGCAGCAGUGGGGAAUAUUGCACAAUGGGCGGAAGCCUGAUGCAGCGACGCCGCGUGAGGGAUGACGGCCUUCGGGUUGUAAACCUCUUUCAGUAGGGAAGAAGCGAAAGUGACGGUACCUGCAGAAGAAGCGCCGGCUAACUACGUGCCAGCAGCCGCGGUAAUACGUAGGGCGCAAGCGUUAUCCGGAAUUAUUGGGCGUAAAGAGCUCGUAGGCGGUUUGUCGCGUCUGCCGUGAAAGUCCGGGGCUCAACUCCGGAUCUGCGGUGGGUACGGGCAGACUAGAGUGAUGUAGGGGAGACUGGAAUUCCUGGUGUAGCGGUGAAAUGCGCAGAUAUCAGGAGGAACACCGAUGGCGAAGGCAGGUCUCUGGGCAUUAACUGACGCUGAGGAGCGAAAGCAUGGGGAGCGAACAGGAUUAGAUACCCUGGUAGUCCAUGCCGUAAACGUUGGGCACUAGGUGUGGGGGACAUUCCACGUUUUCCGCGCCGUAGCUAACGCAUUAAGUGCCCCGCCUGGGGAGUACGGCCGCAAGGCUAAACUCAAGGAAUUGACGGGGGCCCGCACAAGCGGCGGAGCAUGCGGAUAAUUCGAUGCAACGCGAAGAACCUUACCAGGCUUGACAUGAACCGAU